CCAAAACCAAAGCCCCGAUUUCCUCUUAACGAAAUUGUUCUCUGAUCACUUGUUAUUGUGGCAGAGCAUGAUCUGGAUUCGGAAUUUAUCCGAUCGAUCACUGUUAUGCCCAUCUAGAGAAGAUCCAUCAAUGUAGUUUGGAAGUUCUUAUUCUCGCAAAUAUGGGCUUACCGACAAACAUUGCAAUUGGUUCUCGUGUGUGGGUUGAAGAUUCAACAGUCGCCUGGAUAGAUGGGGAAGUGUUAAAUAUUAAGAAUGAAGAAGCUGAAAUCGAAACAAGUAAUGGAAAGACGGUUGUUGCCAAUCUGUCAAGACUAUGCCUGAUGGACGUGGACGUCCCUGAAGAUGGAGUCGAUGACAUGACGACACUCUCCUAUUUAGACGAGCCCGGUGUAUUACAUAACCUGGCCACUCGAUUUCAGUUAAAUAAAAUAUAUACCUACACAGGGAACGUUCUCAUUGCUGUCAAUCCAUUCCAAAGAUUAACAAGCUUAUGUGAUGCCCAUCUCAUGGAACGAUAUAAAGGAGCCGAACUCGGACGAAUGAGCCCUCAUGUUUUUGCCAUCGCGGAUAUUUCUUAUAGGGCAAUGAUUGAUGAGAGAAGAAGCAACUCAAUUUUGGUGAGCGGUGAAAGUGGGGCGGGCAAGACCGAAACCACCAAGUUGAUCAUGCAAUACCUAGCCUUCCUAGGUGGGCAUAGCUUUGCGGAAGGGCGUACGGUUGAGCAACAAAUAUUAGAAUCCAAUCCUGUCCUUGAAGCAUUUGGGAAUGCAAAGACCGUGAGAAACAAUAAUUCCAGCCGCUUUGGUAAAUUUGUCGAAAUCCAGUUUGAUAAUCAUGGAAGAAUAUCCGGGGCAGCGAUACGAACUUAUCUUCUGGAGAGAUCUCGUGUUUGUCAAAUUUCAGACCGGGAGCGCAAUUACCAUUGCUUCUACCUCCUUUGUUCAGCCCCUGCCGAGGAAAUUGAAGCAUACAAAUUGGGAGAUCCGAGAUCAUUUCAUUAUCUCAAUCAGUCAAGCUGCUACGAGCUAGAUGACGUGAAUGACGCUCAGGAGUACCUCGCCACAAGAAGAGCUAUGGAUGUAGUUGGCAUAAAUGAAAAUGACCAGGAAGCAAUUUUUCGAGUUGUAGCUGCCAUCCUUCACCUUGGGAACAUAGACUUUGCUAAGGGAGAGGAGAUAGACACUUCAGUUAUAAGAGAUGAACGGUCCAUGUUCCAUCUUGAGAUGACUGCAAGACUUCUCAUGUGUGAGUCUCAUGCACUGGAAGAUGCAUUAUGUAAGAGGGUCAUGAUCACCCCAGAAGAGAUUAUUAAAAGAAGUCUUGAUCCAUUGGGUGCCACAAUUAGCCGGGACGGUUUGGCCAAGACCAUAUACUCUCGUUUAUUCGAUUGGUUGGUGGAUAAGAUAAAUCACUCCAUCGGACAAGAUUCUAAUUCUCGAUUUCUAAUUGGGGUCCUCGACAUUUACGGGUUUGAGAGCUUCAAGUCCAAUAGUUUUGAGCAAUUUUGCAUAAACUACACAAAUGAGAAGUUGCAACAACAUUUCAACCAGCAUGUUUUCAAGAUGGAGCAGGACGAGUAUACAAAAGAAGGCAUUGAUUGGAGUUAUGUCAAUUUUAUUGAUAAUCAGGAUAUCUUAGAUCUAAUUGAGAAGAAACCUGGUGGAAUUAUUGCUCUACUCGAUGAGGCCUGCAUGUUUCCGAGAUCCACUCAUGAAACCUUCUGUGAGAAGCUCUAUCAGUCAUUCAAGUCAAACAAACGAUUCAUCAGGCCAAAAUUGACACGAACUGACUUUACGAUUGUCCACUAUGCAGGGGAGGUCCAAUAUCAAUCCGAGCAAUUUCUGGACAAAAAUAAAGAUUAUAUUGUCGCUGAACAUCAAGAUUUGUUAACAUCUUCAAAGUGUCCUUUUGUGGCGAGCCUUUUUCCCCCACUUGUAGAGGAGACAACAAAAACUUCAAAAUUUUCAACUCUUGGUGCUCGUUUCAAGCUACAAUUACAACAAUUGAUGGAUACUCUAAAUUCUACAGAGCCCCACUAUAUUCGAUGUGUGAAGCCGAAUGAUGAAUUAAAACCUUUACUCUUUGAUAACGUCAAUGUGACGCAACAACUACGAUCGGGUGGUGUGCUUGAAGCCAUUAGAAUUAAAUGUGCGGGAUAUCCUACUCACAAGUCAUUUCAUGAAUUUGUACGUCGAUUUAGUAUUCUUGCACCACAAGUACACGAAGAGCCUUAUGACGAAAAGGAAGUGUGCAAGUUGAUUUUAGACAGAGUGGGACUCACAGGCUUUCAGGUAGGACAAACAAAAGUGUUUUUAAGAGCUGGUCAAAUGGCUGAGUUAGAUUCUCGACGAGCCGAAGCACUUAGUGAUUCAGCAAAGGUUAUUCAACGGCAAAUUAGGAGACACAUGGCCCGCAAGAAAUACAAUACAAUGCGGAAGAGUUCAAUCCACGUACAGUCAAUGUGGAGAGGAAAAUUGGCUUGUAAGUUGCUGGAGAAGAUGAGGAAAGCUACAGCAGCUACAAAGAUACAAAAGUAUUCCCGUGGUUAUCUAGCAAAAAUAGCAUAUGAGAAACUCAAAUUCGCAGCAAUUGUAUUGCAAACAGCUUCACGCACAAUUGCAGCUCGAAAUGAUUUUAUCUAUAGAAGACAACGUAGAGCAGCAAUCAUGAUCCAGUGUUGUUGGCGUCGUCAUAGAGAUUACGCAUACUUCAAGCAACUUAAGAAAACUUCAAAGGUCCUACAAUGCAGACUUAAGGGGAAAUUUGCAUCCUCAAAAGCACAAAGAAAGGCUACGGAAGAACGAAGACCAAAUCAAGAACGAGAAUUGCUCGAUGAAAAUGUGGAGGAACUUUCAUCAAUUUCAGAAUUGAAAAGUAAUUAUGAGGUACAAGCUGACACUGAAGAUGCAAAGGCUCGAGAGAUAGAGCGGCUACAAAAUUCAUUACAAGCUAUGCGCGAGAAAGUUGAUGAAGCAACUGCAUUGCUUUUUAAUGAACGAGAAAUAGCACAGAAAAUACUAGAAGAUGCACGCCAAUUGAUGAAUCCUGUUAAAGAUUCCAUUCAUGAUACUGAAACCAUUAAGACGCUACAUCUAGAAGUAGAAAAUUUGAAGAAAUUGCUGCAACGGGAAAGGCAAAGAGCUGAUGACAUAGAAAGAAAGUACAUGAAAGCUCAGGAAACGAAUGAAGAACAACGUAUGAAGUUAGAAGAUGCCGAAAGAAAAGUCCAUCAACUACAGGAUUACCUGACCAGUGUGCCUCAGGAUGUUAUCAUGCGUGUCAGACCAAAUGGCAGAGUUGAAAUUUAUCUUGAGUACAUCAAGCUCGAGUUCUAUUACUAAAGACAAUCAAGAUGAGGGUGUUUCUUUCUUAUCGGAUACUUCUUCUAGCGACUCCGAUUUCACUUUCCCUGCUCCAAUUUCAAGUUCAGUGACUUUAUCUCCAUUUCAACAAGAAUCUCUGCAAUUGCUAGUUCAAGACAUUUCAACAACAGAAAUUGGAGGAUCCAAAAGUUCAGAAAGUGAAAAGGAGCGUGCAUUUGAUGAUUUCUUUUAAAAUGCCCAAGGAGUUUGAUGAAGCAUUUUCCCCUUGCUAUUUGUGUAUGAAUACAAGAACUUCAAUUAAUGUUUGUAGAGAUAAAACUUAGCUAGUUAAAAAAUAUAUAUAACAAUGUAUUUGCAAGUUCAAAUUUUAGAUGCAUACUUACUAUAUAAGCAUAAGUUGCUUUUAGAA